ACCCUAGCAAUGCUGACCACUCUUCAUGGGAUGGCUGAGACAGGAACACCCAGUGCCUGGGGAUGUCAGCAAAAGAAAGAGGCCCUUUCUCCCCUCACCGCCCACCUCCAUUUGGAUUUUGCAGCCUGAGCACCGUCCUCUAAUGGAGCCACUACUUACCUUUCCCACUUCAGCUCCCUAGGGAGAACUGAAGGGCUGCUUUCCCAGAAGCCACCAAGGCUCUCCAGCUGCACCCCCAGAGCCACUGCUGGCAGUUGAGAUUCCCCUGGGAGGUGAGAAUCUGUGAGUCUUCCUAACCACCAGGCCCCAACCAUCUGGGAACAUUUGAGUUCAAAUAACCCAACCAGUCCUGUCCUGCAGGUCUCGAUCCCCUUAAGCAGAGCUAAGAUCCACCUGGAAUGUAUCAGCGCUAUUAUCAGUACUAGUUGUUGACACAUGGAGUCCAUUCUGAUGGGCUGGUGCCUGUCCUCUACCAGUUGUUAAGUAUUUUGGCUAUCACUUCUGUCCUCUGUUGCCAUGCCUCGCACUUCAACCCCUCCUACACUCCUCCCCUGGGCUUCCUCCCCUAGUCCUGCCUUUCGCUGCUGAUUGCCUUUGGUAUCAGACAGGCGCCCAGUAAGCAACAGAUGGCACACCCAAAUUGGGUAAUUUGAGAAGAAUGUAAUAAGGGACUAUUUAGGAAAGUGUGGGCAGGGUAUAGGGAAACCACUAGGGGUAGGGCAGUACCCCGGGGCAAGGGGAGGGACCAGUAAUAGAGAGGGAUGGGUGGAGAAAGCUCUGGUGUGAGCUGAGACCCCUGGCUGGUUGCUGGAGGCAGACAGUUCACUAUUAUUCAUCAGUGAGAAAACCUGGGAAAUUAAAAACCCCAAUCUCCCUCUCUUUCCUCCCUUCCAUCUCCUGUAGGUAUCCCAUUUUCCAAACCGAACAGAGGGCACAGGAGCCCAUUGAACCAGUCUAUCCAUAGAGGUCAGCCUCCUAGGCACAGAACAUGGUGGGGAGGGGUGGAGAGUGGAUCUGGAGGGGCAAAUGAAAUAUAUUUAGCCCCCCUCCCAUAAUAUUUUAGAAGAACUUUAUCAUGAAAAAAAUUCAAACAUAUUUUAAAAGCAGAGUAGUAUAAUAAACCCAAAAUACCCGCCAUCCAGCUUCAACAAUGAUUAUUUGAGAGCCAAUCAUCUCAUUUUAUCUAUAUUCUCACUCACUCUUACCUCUUUAUUAUUUUGCAGCAAAUGCUGGGCUUCACAUCAUUUCAUCUGUCAAUAAUUCGUAUGCAUCUCUAAAAGAUAAGGAUUCUUUUUAAACCAUAACACCAUUAGCACAGCAAAAAAGUAAAAAAUAAUAAUGAUAAAAUAAAAAUAAUUCCUUAAUAUUAUCAAAU
rnacentral:lncRNA from 1 species